rnacentral:lncRNA from 1 species
ACAACAUCUGUUUAGACUAGAGCGAAACAGAGAGACAGACCUGUUUAGAGUUAUUGUGAGGGAAGGAAUCAGACAAUAAACAUUGUACCUUUGCACAAUAACAAGAGAAGAUAUAUUUCUUCGAACCUACAUUCCUUGUGUGUUUCAGUACUAUUAAUAAUUCCGCUAUUAGUAGUAUCCGCCUAGUAAUCUGUAUCAUGCAUACAAGUAGGUCACAGAAUUUGCUAUCAAGUCCUAGCUCACAUUACAUUCCAUAAACACCCUUUUCCAGAGAGCUAAACAAGCAGAAAUGAUUGACACUCUCAGUUGCCUCUUGCAAGUAGUAAUCUGUAUCAUGCAUACAAGUAGGUCACAGAAUUUGCUAUCAAGUCCUAGCUCACAUUACAUUCCAUAAACACCCUUUUCCAGAGAGCUAAACAAGCAGAAAUGAUUGACACUCUCAGUUGCCUCUUGCAAGUUAUACACAGCUUAGGGGAGAAAAAACCAAAAGGUUUCUCCUUUGAAGCAAAUCACAACUAUGUAAUAAUCUUCCCUUGUGUACUACUCCAAUUCAACACCCAAACAGUAGGAGGACCUUAGGCUUCCUACUUACAAAAUAACAAUUGAGCUGAGGAGGUUAAGGGUUAU